rnacentral:rRNA from 1 species
GCGAAAUACGAUACGGGACUCAUCCGAGGCCCCGUAAUCGGAAUGAGUACACUCUAAACCCUUUAACGAGGAUCAAUUGGAGGGCAAGUCUGGUGCCAGCAGCCGCGGUAAUUCCAGCUCCAAUAGCGUAUAUUAAAGUUGUUGCGGUUAAAAAGCUCGUAGUCGAAUUUGUGUCCCGCGCCGCCGGUUCAUCGCUCGCGGUGUCAACUGGCGUGUCCGCGGGACGUCCUGCCGGUGGGCUUAGCUCCUCGCGGGCGGCCCAAUCUCAAUCCCACCGCGGUGCUCUUCACUGAGUGUCGAGGCGGGCCGGCACGUUUACUUUGAACAAAUUAGAGUGCUUAAAGCAGGCUAAAAUAUCGCCUGAAUACUGUGUGCAUGGAAUAAUGGAAUAGGACCUCGGUUCUAUUUUGUUGGUUUUCGGAACCCCGAGGUAAUGAUUAAUAGGAACGGAUGGGGGCAUUCGUAUUGCGACGUUAGAGGUGAAAUUCUUGGAUCGUCGCAAGACGGACAGAAGCGAAAGCAUUUGCCAAAAACGUUUUCAUUGAUCAAGAACGAAAGUUAGAGGUUCGAAGGCGAUCAGAUACCGCCCUAGUUCUAACCAUAAACGAUGCCAGCUAGCGAUCCGCCGACGUUCCUCCGAUGACUCGGCGGGCAGCUUCCGGGAAACCAAAGCUUUUGGGAUCCGGGGGAAGUAUGGUUGCAAAGCUGAAACUUAAAGGAAUUGACGGAAGGGCACCACCAGGAGUGGAGCCUGCGGCUUAA